AAAUUUUUUUUUAUUUUAAUUUGCAACCUAUUUAUAAAUCGAUUGAUUGAUGUUAGUAAUUGAUUUCUGUAACCAAUUGAAAUUGAUUAUUAUUAAUAGCCGAUUUUAUAACCAAUUGCGAAUUGGUUGCAAAAUUUUUCUCUCAAAAUUCCUAUCCAAUUUUUAAAAGAAAUAAGCAACUGAUCGAUUGUUAAUUUACUUAUAUAAACUAUUACUCAUUUUAUUUUUUUACUAUUCAUUUUCUUUUUCACUAUUCAUUUUUCUCUGUUUCUUCCAUUCUCUCAUUUUCUUCAUCUUUUUCAUUCAUAUUUUUUUAUUUAUCAUUUUUUCUUUUUUAACAUAUUUUUUUCAUCA
rnacentral:misc_RNA from 1 species